AAAAGAUUGAGGAUAAUAAUGGCUGAAAGAUUUUCCCAAGGAUAUGGCAGAGAUGAUAUCUUAUCUUCUGGCUCCUUAUCUUGUGCCCUUUCCACUUUGCAACCCUGGCUGUCUGACAGAGAUAGACCUUCAGUCCGCCAGCUAGCCUGCCAGCUAAAUGGAUGUACACCUAGAGUAUCCAGAACAAUGCACUAGUAAUUGCAUCCAAGGAUAAAGACAAUUUUAUUCAUGGAUAAAGUGCUCUACGAAGGGGAUCUUAUAAUCACAUCACCCACUUUCAUAACCAUCAAAGGCGUACAACAUCUAAGUCCAAUUAAUGGAGGAUAGAACCAUAUGGACAUCUGUUUCAGUGAUGUGGAUGCUGAUAGCAUUCUCAACUAGGACUGAAGAAGUGCAUCUAAUACUUUGGAAAGCACAUCUGCCAAUUACCAAAGCAUCUGAGUUCAUCUGAAAUAGAGACUUUCUUUGCCAUCAGCUCU